rnacentral:rRNA from 1 species
AACAGGAUUAGAUACCCUGGUAGUCCACGCCGUAAACGUUGGGCGCUAGGUGUGGGGCCUGUUUCCACGGGUUCCGUGCCGGAGCUAACGCAUUAAGCGCCCCGCCUGGGGAGUACGGCCGCAAGGCUAAAACUCAAAGGAAUUGACGGGGGCCCGCACAAGCGGCGGAGCAUGCGGCUUAAUUCGAUGCGACGCGAAGAACCUUACCAGGGCUUGACAUGCACGGUGCCGCCGUAGAGAUACGGCUUCCUUUGGGGUCGUGCACAGGUGGUGCAUGGUUGUCGUCAGCUCGUGUCGUGAGAUGUUGGGUUAAGUCCCGCAACGAGCGCAACCCUCGUCCUGUAUUGCCAGCAGCACCUUUGGGUGGCUGGGGACUUGCGGGAGACUGCCGGGGUCAACUCGGAGGAAGGUGGGGAUGACGUCAAAUCAUCAUGCCCCUUAUGUCCUGGGCUGCACGCAUGCUACAAUGGCCGGUACAGAGGGCUGCGAUGCCGUGAGGCGGAGCGAAUCCCGGAAAGCCGGUCUCAGUUCGGAUCGGGGUCUGCAACUCGACCCCGUGAAGUCGGAGUCGCUAGUAAUCGCAGAUCAGCAACGCUGCGGUGAAUACGUUCCCGGGCCUUGUACACACCGCCCGUCACGUCACGAAAGUCGGUAACACCCGAAGCCCGCGGCCUAGCCCCGUUUGGGGAGGGAGUGGUCGAAGGUGGGACUGGCGAUUGGGACGAAGUCGUAACAAGGUAACC